GCGAGACGGCGACGUUAAGCAAAUCCCAGAAAUAACGUCCCAGUUCGGAUUGUAGUCUGCAACCCGACUACAUGAAGCUGGAAUCGCUAGUAAUCGCGGAUCAGAAUGCCGCGGUGAAUACGUUCCCGGGUCUUGUACACACCGCCCGUCACACCAUGGGAGUCGGAAAUGCCCGAAGUCAGUGACCUAACCGAAAGGAAGGAGCUGCCGAAGGUGGAGCCGGUAACUGGGGUGAAGUCGUAACAAGGUACC
rnacentral:rRNA from 1 species